rnacentral:rRNA from 1 species
UCUGGCUCAGGAUGAACGCUAGCUACAGGCUUAACACAUGCAAGUCGAGGGGCAGCAUGAGCUAGCUUGCUAAGCUGAUGGCGACCGGCGCACGGGUGAGUAACGCGUAUCCAACCUUCCCCUUAGUAGGGCAUAGCCCGGUGAAAAUCGGAUUAAUACCCUAUGUUCUUCACAGCGGACAUCUAACGUGAAGCAAAGGUUCACCGCUAAGGGAUGGGGAUGCGUCUGAUUAGGUAGUCGGCGGGGUAACGGCCCACCGAGCCAUCGAUCAGUAGGGGUUCUGAGAGGAAGGUCCCCCACAUUGGAACUGAGACACGGUCCAAACUCCUACGGGAGGCAGCAGUGAGGAAUAUUGGUCAAUGGUCGAGAGACUGAACCAGCCAAGUAGCGUGCCAGGAUGACGGCCCUAUGGGUUGUAAACUGCUUUUAUGCGGGGAUAAAGUCACCCACGUGUGGGUGUUUGCAGGUACCGCAUGAAUAAGGACCGGCUAAUUCCGUGCCAGCAGCCGC